rnacentral:rRNA from 1 species
UGCAAGUCGAGCGGACGACGCUAUCAUGAACCUUCGGGGGACGAUAACGGCGUCGAGCGGCGGACGGGUGAGUAAUGCCUAGGAAAUUGCCCUGAUGUGGGGGAUAACCAUUGGAAACGAUGGCUAAUACCGCAUGAUGCCUACGGGCCAAAGAGGGGGACCUUCGGGCCUCUCGCGUCAGGAUAUGCCUAGGUGGGAUUAGCUAGUUGGUGAGGUAAGGGCUCACCAAGGCGACGAUCCCUAGCUGGUCUGAGAGGAUGAUCAGCCACACUGGAACUGAGACACGGUCCAGACUCCUACGGGAGGCAGCAGUGGGGAAUAUUGCACAAUGGGCGCAAGCCUGAUGCAGCCAUGCCGCGUGUGUGAAGAAGGCCUUCGGGUUGUAAAGUACUUUCAGUCGUGAGGAAGGUGGUGUAGUUAAUAGCUGCAUUAUUUGACGUUAGCGACAGAAGAAGCACCGGCUAACUCCGUGCCAGCAGCCGCGGUAAUACGGAGGGUGCGAGCGUUAAUCGGAAUUACUGGGCGUAAAGCGCAUGCAGGUGGUUUGUUAAGUCAGAUGUGAAAGCCCGGGGCUCAACCUCGGAAUUGCAUUUGAAACUGGCAGACUAGAGUACUGUAGAGGGGGGUAGAAUUUCAGGUGUAGCGGUGAAAUGCGUAGAGAUCUGAAGGAAUACCGGUGGCGAAGGCGGCCCCCUGGACAGAUACUGACACUCAGAUGCGAAAGCGUGGGGAGCAAACAGGAUUAGAUACCCUGGUAGUCCACGCCGUAAACGAUGUCUACUUGGAGGUUGUGGCCUUGAGCCGUGGCUUUCGGAGCUAACGCGUUAAGUAGACCGCCUGGGGAGUACGGUCGCAAGAUUAAAACUCAAAUGAAUUGACGGGGGCCCGCACAAGCGGUGGAGCAUGUGGUUUAAUUCGAUGCAACGCGAAGAACCUUACCUACUCUUGACAUCCAGAGAACUUUCCAGAGAUGGAUUGGUGCCUUCGGGAACUCUGAGACAGGUGCUGCAUGGCUGUCGUCAGCUCGUGUUGUGAAAUGUUGGGUUAAGUCCCGCAACGAGCGCAACCCUUAUCCUUGUUUGCCAGCGAGUAAUGUCGGGAACUCCAGGGAGACUGCCGGUGAUAAACCGGAGGAAGGUGGGGACGACGUCAAGUCAUCAUGGCCCUUACGAGUAGGGCUACACACGUGCUACAAUGGCGCAUACAGAGGGCGGCCAACUUGCGAAAGUGAGCGAAUCCCAAAAAGUGCGUCGUAGUCCGGAUUGGAGUCUGCAACUCGACUCCAUGAAGUCGGAAUCGCUAGUAAUCGUGGAUCAGAAUGCCACGGUGAAUACGUUCCCGGGCCUUGUACACACCGCCCGUCACACCAUGGGAGUGGGCUGCAAAAGAAGUAGGUAGUUUAACCUUCGGGGGGACGCUUACCACUUU